rnacentral:misc_RNA from 1 species
UGGUUCUGGCAUCGAUGAAGAACGCAGCGAAAUGCGAUAAGUAAUGUGAAUUGCAGAAUUCAGUGAAUCAUCGAAUCUUUGAACGCACAUUGCACCCUCUGGUAUUCCGGGGGGUAUGCCUGUUCGAGCGUCAUUUCAACCCUCAAGCUCAGCUUGGUAUUGGGCAUCACCUGGAAGGGUGUGCCUUAAAAUCAGUGGCGGUGCCAUCUGGCUUCAAGCGUAGUAAAACUUUCGCUCUGGAGUUUGGGUGGUUGCCUGCCAUUAACCUCUAAUUUUUUCAGGUUGACCUCGGAUCAGGUAGGGAUACCCGCUGA